AGAGGCUGAAACUCGCCUCUUUGAAGUCGGAAUCGCUAGUAAUCGCAGAUCAGCAUGUUGCGGUGAAUACGUUCCCGGGUCUUGUACACACCGCCCGUCAAACCAUGAGAGUCACCAACACCCGAAGUCCGCCUUGGCGGCCUAAGGUGGGGGAGAUGAUUGGGGUUAAGUCGUAACAAGGUACC
rnacentral:rRNA from 1 species